AGAUACAAUAGGGGCUACAGCCCUCUGGGCUUGGCCCCUAAAUAUAGUUCUUAUAUACCAUCUUUAUUGUUAAUAGCUUAAUUCAGGGCUUAAGAAUUUCAUUUAAUUUUCAAUAAGUGAUAUUUACAGAGUGCUGCAUAGACCACUACUUUGUGUGUCUCACUAAUGAACAUCUUUGAAAAGCUAUUGUACCUGUCGUCUUCUCUCUCUUUCUUCCUCUGUCUUUAUCUACACUAAAUGAACACAGAAAACUAAGCCUAUUGUUCAGUGCAAGGAUUAAACAACUAGCCCUUCAUCCUUGAGUUUUAUUAGGUGAAUGACUUUAAGCAAAUUAAGAUUUCCUGUCAUCGUCCACUGCAAUGUUGGGGGAAGUUCAAAAAGCAGUGUAUAUUCCCUUCUUCUCUGAAUAAAACAUACAUAGAGCAUUGUUGAAUUAUGGAUAGCAUUUUUGUGUUUGUGCACUGUUUUUUCAUGCUUAGUCUCCUGUGUAAAUUUUUUAACACAAAUGAGAUGAUACGAAAGAAGUUAAUAUCUGAAGGUCAUCCAUAUUAAACAUAUACUGUAUGUAGGUCAUUCAGACACAAUCUUCCAGCAUCUGAAAUUGCAUAAAAGUUAGUAAGGGAGUAUACGACUAACUUUUCAGAGAUUGCCGAGAUUCUAUGAAAGGUGAAAUCUUAAAACCUUUUCCCUGAAGAAUAAUCAUCACGGCAGGAAAUCAGUGUAAGGUUUAAAGAAACUAACCAGAAUUCUAAUAAUUCCCUCAUUUUAGUGAUUACUAAAAACGUUCAUUUUGUUCUGAUUGCUCGCUGUAAUAAUUCAGAGAAUGGUUGUUCUUUUACAUUAUGAAAAUAAUUUCAUCAUCCUAGCUUAUUUUCAAUUUCCUCUCCAUUUUCUUUGUGACUUGUUUUUCCACAGCUGUUUUCUCACUAAAUGAAUUAUUAAUAUCAAGUUCAAGAGCCUCAAAGACAACAGUCCACAAAGAUUAAAACCAGUCACUUUGUACUAGCUUCUAAUUAGGCAUUAAGAAGAAAUGUUCACAUGCAUACUGAACAGAAAGACCCAUACAGAAAAUGGCGUACCCCUAAUGUGUGUGUGUUUUUUCUUUUCACCUUUCUGGCACAAUUAUGACAUUAUUUUUAUUUGUGUAUUUUAAUAAGUACAUCAUUGAAUAGGUCAGUUCACAUGAUAUUUAAUGAUAUUCUGCUCAUUUACACCACGUCUUAGACAUGCUGUAAUCUUGUCAACACUUAGUCAGAGGUAUAUUCAUGCUCACAGUCUGUGGGCAAGGUCUUCACUUGGCAUUGACCAAAAAUUCCAGUCACUCUCUCCUUCAGAAAAAAAAGAGAUAGGUUUUCUGAUAUUUUCCCAUUGUUUCAUCACACCCUUGAUCCUUUAUUAAUUUUAAUGAUGCAUACAAGAUGAAGGAAAUUAGUUUAUUCCGGUUUGUAUGCUGUCGGCAUGCAUUAGCUCUUUGAAAGACAAACAGACUGGUCGCUAUCUUCCAAAACUCAUUUGGCAACUUCCCCCCCAUAAAAGCUCGGGGAGUGAUUUGUUUUCGAGGAUCCUUUAAUAAAAAUGACAAAACAAAACACCCCAGAAGAGAUGAAUCAGCACACAGCUGAAAUACUGAGAAGGUCAGAACUCAUAAGAAAAAUCAUUUAUUCUUAUUUUAUCAUCACUGGAGAGCAAAGAACCAAACUCAGAGUGGAUCAUUUGUGCUAAUAUAAUGUUUGCAUCGUACAAAGCAUUGUAUGCUAAAUGGUGUCUGCAGGGCCUGGUUAGCAUGGCAGCUCUUUUGUUCAAGAGCCUUUAAUAAACUAUCACUGAGUCAUGUUGAAAACACAUUUGUUUUACUCUACUGUUUUAUAAGAAUUUUGGUAAACACAUUUUUUGGCAUAAUGGAAAUGUAUUUUAUGCAUGCCAAUUUUGGAACCCUACCAUUCAAAAGCUUGGGGUCAAGAUAUUUUUGAGAAAUUAAUUCAUACAAUUAUUUGUCAAGAAUGCAUUAAAGUGAUCAAAAGUGACAGUAAAUACAUGUAUAAUGUUAAGAAAGAAUUCUAUUUAAAGAAAUGCAUCACUGUUUCCAUAGAAAUAUGAAGCAGUGCAGGAUUUCCUGAGCAGGACAUCAUAUUAAAAUGAUUUCUGAAGGAUCAUGUGAAGCUGAAGACUGUAGUAAUGGUAGCUUUCAAAAACAACUUAGCAACCCCAAACUUUUCAAUGGUAGUCUAACUAAAAAAGUAUUAUUUCAGUAUUAACAGUAUCUAUUUAGUACUACCUGACCAUUAUCACUAUAUAAGUGUGUUUCUGUGUGCCUGUGCAUAUAUUUACAGACAUUUAUAGGAAACAGUGACACAGACACAGUGGUCCAACACAAACUCCCUCACUCCAUCAGAACUCGAUAUAUGCGUCUUUUGCCCCUUGAGGGAAGUCCCAAAGGAGGAAUGGGUCUACGGCUAGAGGUCUAUGGAUGCACAUACAAGUCAGACGUGGCUGACUUCGACGGCCGCAGUGCCUUACUCUACCGGUUCAAUCAGAAGUCCACCAGCACAGUGAAAGACGUGAUUUCCCUGAGAUUCAGGAGCCAUCAGGCAGAAGGGGUUCUGGUUCAUGGAGAGGGACAGAGAGGAGAUUUCCUCACUCUGGAGCUUCAUAGAGGAAGACUCAUUUUACAUCUCAAUUUAGAUGAUGCCAAGCCUCAGUCUACCGGUCGUUCAUCUUCUGUCAUGCUAGGAAGUCUGCUGGACGACCACCACUGGCACUCUGUUCAAAUUGAGCGCUUUAACAAACAUGUCAACUUCACAGUGGAUGGACACACACAACACUUCCGCAGUCCGGGACAAGAGGACACACUGGAGAUAGAUUAUGAGCUCAGUUUUGGAGGAAUACCUUUGCCUGGUAAGCCUGGGACGUUUCUCCAUGAAAAUUUCCAUGGCUGCAUAGAAAACCUCAACUACAACGGCGUCAAUGUUAUAGACAUGGCGAAAAGACGGAAGCCGCAGAUCUAUACAGUGGGCAACGUGACAUUCUCAUGCUCGGAGUCUUCCUCGGUUGCUGUGACGUUCCUCAGUUCCACUGGCAGCUUCCUGAUGCUCCCUGCAGAUUACAGUAUGGAGAGUCUCUCUGUACGACUGCAGUUCCGCACAUGGAAUCAGCAAGGGCUGCUGUUCUCAGUCCCACUGUCUCUUGAUCCGGACCCCAUUAACCUGCUUCUGCAGCUCAGCCAGGCUAGGCUACUCCUCUCACUCUCUGGAGGGACACAAAACUCAGCACAGGUGUUCAGCGGUGAGAAUUUGAGUGAUGGUCAGUGGCAUUCCAUAGCCAUCGAGGUCAAGGGUCACAAGGUGUCUUUAACAGUCAACAACCAGAAGCCCGUCACUAUGGAAAUCAGUGGGUUUAUUCAGAACAUGCAAAGAACAACCAUCUUCAUCGGAGGCUGCCCUUUAUUCCAGAGCGAUUUCAACUGUGAAACCCCCAACAGAGGAUAUCAGGGCUGCCUUCGUCUCCUGGUCAUCAACAACCAUCCAGUCGAUGUACUUCAGAUUCAGCAGGAAAGCCUGAGCAACUAUAGCCAGAUUAGCUUUGAUGUUUGCAACAUACAAGACAGGUGUUUGCCCAUUCUGUGCGAACACGGUGGUCAAUGCAUCCAGUCAUGGGACCAGUUUUACUGUGACUGUUCUGGAACAGGAUACACGGGGGCCACCUGCCACAACUCAAUAUAUGAGCGAUCCUGUGAGGCCUUCAGGAAAACAGGAAGCCAGUCGAGUGUGUUUACAAUCGACCUUGAUGGGAGCGGACCUCUAGAGCACACUCAAGUCAACUGCACCAUGGCAGAAGAUAAAGUUUGGACCGUAGUGGGGCACGAUCACAUGAGGAUCAUUGACAUUCGAGGAUCCACUCCACGCAGCCCUUUUGUUCUCAUCUUCAACUACACCAUCUCACCAUACCAUCUCCGCUCGCUCGUGACCUCCUCGGAACACUGCCAACAGGAAGUGAUAUAUCGUUGCAGAAAGUCUCGGCUUUUUGACACCUGGGAUGGAACUCCUUUGUCAUGGUGGCUGGAUAGAGAUGGAGUGAAACGAACAUAUUGGGGAGGAUUUCUGCCUGGGGUCCAGCAGUGCUCUUGUAGUUUGGAUGGCAACUGCAGGGACAUGAAUUAUUUCUGCAACUGCGAUGCAGACCAAGACACCUGGGCGAAUGAUACUGGUGUGCUGUCUUACAAAGACCAUUUACCCCUUAGUGAGAUCGCCAUUGGAGACACAAACCGGACAAACUCACAGGCUGAGCUCCAAAUUGGACCGCUGCGCUGCUAUGGCAACCGAUUUUUCUGGAACUCUGCAUCUUUUUACCAGGAAUCCUCCUAUCUGCAUUUCCCCACCCUGCAAGCUGAACUGAGCAUCGAUAUUUCACUCUUUUUCAAAACUAGUUCCCUCUCAGGAGUCUUCUUGGAGAAUCUGGGUGUCAGAGACUUCAUAAGGCUGGAGCUUAGUUCUCCCUAUACAGUGAACUUGACUUUUGACCUAGGGGAUGGACCAGUAAUUAUUACCAUUCAGUCGCCUGUAGCCCUGAAUGAUCGUCAGUGGCAUUAUAUUCGUGCUGAACGAAAUGUGAAAGAAGCUUCUCUACAGGUUGACUCUCUGCCGCUGAAGCUAAAAGAAGCACCAUCUGAGAGACCCUACCGGCUUCAGCUCAGCAGUCAACUCUUUGUGGGAGGUACAGCUUCUAGACAGAGAGGCUUUCUGGGCUGCUUACGUGCCCUCAUCAUUAACGGGGUGACCCUUGACCUGUAUGAACGUGCAAAGACCACCCCGGGGGUGAAUUCAGGCUGCCCGGGUCACUGCACCAGCGACAGCGUCUGUCAUAAUGGAGGGAGAUGUGUGGAAGAGAGGAGCGGUUACACCUGCGACUGCACACAGACAGCCUUCGACGGGCCACACUGCAGAACAGCUCUAGCAGCUUCCUUUGAAAGGGGAUCUUCAGUCCUUUACACUCUCCAGGAGCCAUUUUCCGGGAUACUGAACGAGGAGGCCAGAAGAUCACCGGCAGGUUUCCAUGAUGCAGAAGCUACCAAAUCUCAAGAGAAAGUGUCAUUUGGAUUCUUGACGCAUCAUGUGCCAGCCUUGAUCCUGACAGCUUACACUCUGGACCAGCACUAUAUGGCUGUUGUGCUAACAUCAAACGCCUGCAAAUACGAUACUUGUUGAACAAAGAAAAACGAACAGAAAAGUUCAGCCCAGUGUCAUCCAGUCUAGCAGACGGACGGUUUCACUGGGUCAAAAUCAAUCGAAAGGGACAGGAGCUGUUUGUCCAGAUUGACAACACAAUAACCCAGCAGUACAGCCUGUCUCCUGGCUCUGCUCUCAGCCCGGCGAGGUCAGUGAUUCUAGGGAGAAUCCAAG